rnacentral:tRNA from 1 species
ACCUGGGUGGCUCAGUCAGUUGAGUGUCCGACUUCAGCUCGGGUCAUGAUCUCACAGUUUGUGGGUUCGAGCCCCGCAUCGGGCU